rnacentral:rRNA from 1 species
CUACGGGCCGCACCAGUGAGGAAUAUUGCACAAUGGGGGGAACCCUGAUGCAGCAGCGCCGCGUGGAGGAUGACGCAUUUCGGUGUGUAAACUCCUUUUAUAUGUCAAGGAAAUGACGGUAGCAUAUGAAUAAGCACCGGCUAACUCCGUGCCAGCAGCCGCGGUAAUACGGAGGGUGCAAGCGUUACUCGGAAUCACUGGGCGUAAAGGACGCGUAGGCGGGUUGGAAAGUCAGGUGUGAAAUCCUACAGCUUAACUGUAGAACUGCACUUGAAACUUCUAAUCUAGAGUAUGGGAGGGGGAGAUGGAAUUAGUGGUGUAGGGGUAAAAUCCGUAGAUAUCACUAGGAAUACCUAAAGCGAAGGCGAUCUCCUGGAACAUUACUGACGCUAAGGCGUGAAAGCGUGGGGAUCAAACAGGAUUAGAUACCCCCGUAGUC